CAGCCGCCGCGGUAACACGUAGGUGGCAAGCGUUGUCCGGAAUUAUUGGGCGUAAAGGGCUCGCAGGCGGUUUCUUAAGUCUGAUGUGAAAGCCCCCGGCUCAACCGGGGAGGGUCAUUGGAAACUGGGAAACUUGAGUGCAGAAGAGGAGAGUGGAAUUCCACGUGUAGCGGUGAAAUGCGUAGAGAUGUGGAGGAACACCAGUGGCGAAGGCGACUCUCUGGUCUGUAUCUGACGCUGAGGAGCGAAAGCGUGGGGAGCGGACAGGAUUAGAUACCCGGGUAGUCCCUGUCUCUUAUAC
rnacentral:rRNA from 1 species